rnacentral:rRNA from 1 species
AUUGAACGCUGGCGGCAGGCCUAACACAUGCAAGUCGAACGGUAACAGGAAGAAGCUUGCUUCUUUGCUGACGAGUGGCGGACGGGUGAGUAAUGUCUGGGAAACUGCCUGAUGGAGGGGGAUAACUACUGGAAACGGUAGCUAAUACCGCAUAACGUCGCAAGACCAAAGAGGGGGACCUUCGGGCCUCUUGCCAUCGGAUGUGCCCAGAUGGCAUUAGCUAGUAGGUGGGGUAACGGCUAACCUAGGCGACGAUCCCUAGCUGGUCUGAGAGGAUGACCAGCCACACUGGAACUGAGACACGGUCCAGACUCCUACGGGAGGCAGCAGUGGGGAAUAUUGCACAAUGGGCGCAAGCCUGAUGCAGCCAUGCCGCGUGUAUGAAGAAGGCCUUCGGGUUGUAAAGUACUUUCAGCGGGGAGGAAGGGAGUAAAGUUAAUCCCUUUGCUCAUUGACGUUACCCGCAGAAGAAGCACCGGCUAACUCCGUG